UGGCAGGCUAGAGUCUUGUAGAGGGGGGUAGAAUUUCAGGUGUAGCGGUGAAAUGCGUAGAGAUCUGAAGGAAUACCAGUGGCGAAGGCGGCCCCCUGGACAAAGACUGACGCUCAGAUGCGAAAGCGUGGGUAGCAAACAGGAUUAGAUACCCUGGUAGUCCACGCCGUAAACGCUGUCUACUUGGAGGUUGAGGUUUUAGACUUUGGCUUUCGGCGCUAACGCAUUAAGUAGACCGCCUGGGGAGUACGGCCGCAAGGUUAAAACUCAAAUGAAUUGACGGGGGCCCGCACAAGCGGUGGAGCAUGUGGUUUAAUUCGAUGCAACGCGAAGAACCUUACCUACUCUUGACAUCCAGCGAAGCCUUUAGAGAUAGAGGUGUGCCUUCGGGAGCGCUGAGACAGGUGCUGCAUGGCUGUCGUCAGCUCGUGUUGUGAAAUGUUGGGUUAAGUCCCGCAACGAGCGCAACCCUUAUCCUUGUUUGCCAGCACGUAAUGGUGGGAACUCCAGGGAGACUGCCGGUGAUAAACCGGAGGAAGGUGGGGACGACGUCAAGUCAUCAUGGCCCUUACGAGUAGGGCUACACACGUGCUACAAUGGCAGAUACAGAGGGCAGCGAGACAGCGAUGUUUAGCGAAUCCCUUAAAGUUUGUCGUAGUCCGGAUUGGAGUCUGCAACUCGACUCCAUGAAGUCGGAAUCGCUAGUAAUCGUGGAUCAGAAUGCCACGGUGAAUACGUUCCCGGGCCUUGUACACACCGCCCGU
rnacentral:rRNA from 1 species